ensembl:lncRNA
UUUUAUUGCUUUAUUUGUGUUUCUGGUCAGAAGAACUGGAAUGCAGAAUGAGGAGCUUAUGAGGUUCUCACCCUGGCUCCUCCCACCCAUGCUUGGAUUCAAACAAGUGGCCACUCACUAGCGUAUCCAAAUGGAUACCAGAGCCAUUUUCCAGACCUCAGGAGUCCUAUAGCCUUUCACCAGCCAAGCUAUGGUGCUGGUGCUGGUGCUGGAGCCACAUAAAGAACCAACUGCCCAAGUGAGCCUGGAAAUACAUACAUGUCAUCUCUCUGGAGAGCAAAAUUGACACCAUGACUACUGUCCUGGGACUGCCCUUUAAAACCUUUGCUGAAUUUGUACUCCUGGUCUUUCUCAUGACUACUGAUGAAGAGAAGAGCUUCAGGGGUAGAGAUAGUCACAGUUCUAACCUGACUUCAGGGGACUGGAGAAUCCCCCACAGCCAAUGAAGGGACUGACUUCAAGGGUCGGUGAAUUACCCUGCUUGGUCAUGAGACCUCAGCUGAGCAAGCAGAACAAACUGAGGCAAGUAUGACAGAAGCUAAUCAGGGAAUCAGGAAACCUGUCUUUCCUUCUUACUUCUCACUAACCAGUACCUCCCCCUGCCACACAUACAACCACACAUAUUCUCUUAAAAAAUACCCCAAGCCAUAAAGUGGUAAAUUUUAUGUUAUACGUAUUUUACUAUGAUUAAAAAGAAUCAUAUUUAGCCAACCUAGGUUAAAUAUUCUAUUCUCUGUCCUUAUUCCUAUGUCUAUGUAUUCCUCAGAACUGUAAUCCAAGCACUGUAAUCCACAUUAUUGCAUUUGAAUCACCUCAAUUUGUGAUAUAAUUUGUGAGUUUCCUAAAUGAGGGAUUACUAAUUUUUUUCUUUUUCUUUCUGCUUUUUGUGGAAGCAUAACAUAUAUACUGAAAAGUGCACAAAUCAUAAAUAUACAGUUCUAUAAAUUUUCAAAUGGCAAACACCUUCAUAUAACCAAAACCUAAAUGAAGAAACAGAAUGUCACUAGCACAUCUUCCAGUCACUAGUUU